GGAGGUGCAAGAGGCACCCGAGUCACCGGCAGUCGAAGGGGGUGUGCCCAACGUGCUUGAGAGAGAAGCUCUCGCAGAUCUCCGCUUCCUCUUCUGGGUUCUCCUCGCCGGGGACUUCCUACGACUCCGUCAGCUCCGCCGCCUCCUCCUCCUCCUCCUCCCCCGCCGCCGCCAUCCCCGGCGGCGCCGUCGCCGCCAAGAUGGCGAUCAUGGCGGGUAAGCCGGAACCCCUCACAAAGAGCCGCUCUCUGGCCUUCGUGGUCACCGGCGGCAAGAGGGAAAAGAAGGGGAAGAGCAAGGAG
rnacentral:lncRNA from 1 species